CGCGAUAUUGUAAAACAUAUAUCGUAAGAUAAACGCUAGGCACCUGUUGAACAUUUAAUUUUGUAUAGAUCGCGAGUUUUCCCAUUUUGAAAAAUUGAAAAAGGAUAAAGGAAAGUACGUCUUCCUGACGCAUGUUACGUUAAAUAUGUCGGAGGUCACGACAUAUGGCGAAUGGAAAAUUGUUCAUCGGAAGAUUACCCAUAAUGAAGCAUCCUGUACGAAGAUUGUAUUUAUGAUGAUAUAGCUUUGUCGCAGUUUAUUUAUCAUCGGCAAUGAAUCGCUUCAGGAUCAGCUACGCCGGUGAUUAAUUGAAUAAAUUCCCAAUGUCUUUUG